rnacentral:rRNA from 1 species
GGAGUUAGCCGGUGCUUCUUCUGUGAGUGAUGUCCUUCCUGCCGGUUAUUGACCCGCAGGCCUUCUUCCUCACUGAAAGUGCUUUACAACCCGAAGGCCUUCUUCACACACGCGGCAUGGCUGGAUCAGGGUUGCCCCCAUUGUCCAAUAUUCCCCACUGCUGCCUCCCGUAGGAGUCUGGGCCGUGUCUCAGUCCCAGUGUGGCUGAUCAUCCUCUCAGACCAGCUACGGAUCGUCGCCUUGGUGAGCCGUUACCUCACCAACCAGCUAAUCCGACAUAGGCUCAUCCGAUAGCGCGAGGCCCGAAAGUCCCCCGCUUUCCCCCGUAGGGCGUAUGCGGUAUUAGCCUGGGUUUCCCCAGGUUAUCCCCCACUACCGGGCAGAUUCCUAUGCAUUACUCACCCGUCCGCCGCUCGCCACCAGGGAGCAAGCUCCCCGUGCUGCCGCUCGACUUGCAUGUGUUAGGCCUGCCGCCAGCGUUCAAUCUGAGCCAUAAUCAAACUCUGA